GCGAGAACGUGCACACGCGACUUCUUCGGCCGAUGGUGUUGCCGAGCAGCCGUCUUGGGAGUAGGGGGGGUCAGACAAGCGGCGUGGGUCUCAGCUUUAGCUGGUUGGAAAUCCCUGGCAAUGUGAUUUACAUUACAUCACAACAAAAUCACUCUGCCAGGAAUCCUUCCAGCUAAACCAACCGUUCGGGGGCCUCUGUGUGUGUCGGGUGGUGGGGGAGGCGAGCAGGGCGGAGGUGGAGGAUGGAGGAGAGAGCGACGGGUGGACGCGCGCACAACGACGAGAGAGCAGAUGCGUGUUGCGUUGAAAGAGGGUCACAGGAGUCAUUCAACGUGGUUACGGAGGCCUGUUUAGGAGCUGUGUGCGACUGUUGUCCACAGCUUUUGAUGACAGGUAGUUACACC
ensembl:lncRNA